rnacentral:rRNA from 1 species
UACAGAGGUCUCAAGCGUUGUUCGGAUUCAUUGGGCGUAAAGAGCGUGUAGGCGGCCAUGCAGGUCAGCUGUGAAAACUCGAGGCUCAACCUCGAGACGUCGGUUGAAACCGUAUGGCUAGAGUCCGGAAGAGGAGAGUGGAAUUCCCGGUGUAGCGGUGAAAUGCGCAGAUAUCGUAAGGAAGACCAGUGGCGAAGGCGGGUCUCUGGACAGUUCCUGACGCUGAGGCACGAAGGCCAGGGGAGCAAACGGG